AAUUACUGGAAUAGAAACACGGUCUGGUUGGUAGUCCAGACGCAAUGAAAAUUGUCAGUAACCUGCCUCCUUGGUUGUCCGUUUCCAGAGCAGUCUAU
rnacentral:ncRNA from 1 species